GAUGAACGCUGGCGGCGUGCUUAACACAUGCAAGUCGAACGAAGAUGCCGGAGUGCUUGCACUUUGGCAGACUGAGUGGCGGACGGGUGAGUAACGCGUGGGUAACCUGCCUUAUACAGGGGGAUAACAGUUGGAAACGACUGCUAAUACCGCAUAAGCGCACGGUAUCGCAUGAUACAGUGUGAAAAACUCCGGUGGUAUAAGAUGGACCCGCGUCUGAUUAGCUGUUGGUGAGGUAACGGCCCACCAAGGCGACGAUCAGUAGCCGACCUGAGAGGUGACCGGCCACAUUGGGACUGAGACACGGCCCAAAACUCCUACGGGAGGCAGCAG
rnacentral:rRNA from 1 species